UCCCCGAGGGAAGCGGGGUCCCUGCCCGCAGGGUGCAGGAGCAGCAAAUGCCCGGGGCUGUGCCGCAUGUUUUAUGUGUUCACGCCUGUUACGUUCCCACUCACACCGUCCUUAGCAGCGGCCCUUGGGGAAUGGCUGGAUGGGGGGCAUACGUGAUCCCCCACCUUCCCCCAGCCCUGGGUGGCUCUUGGCCCUGCCAGCAGAGCAGAGCUUUCUUCCAAGGCUGUGUGACAGUCCCAGCAGUGUGUCACUGUGCUUUGCUCGUGGCUCUUUACCUCUCCACAGCUGGCAGAGAGGGCUGGACUUCUCCUCCUGUGGCCAGUGGGAGGAAGCCAACACCUGCUGUUUGAAAGCCGUCAACCUGGAUCUGCAGAGGGUCCCCCGUUGUGACACUCCCCAGAAGCUGAGUGGACACUGGCCCAGCCAGAGCCUGCAAGGUCUGACCAGCAGAAGGAUCUGCAAGAGGCUCAACAGCUUGUAGCACCAACUCACAGCCUGCUGUAGAAAUCAUCACUGAAUAAAAGAAUUUUCAAAAUUGUUAGUGGCACCAUGGGCUUCCCUGGAGGUAGGACUGGAAUGUUUUGUAGCUGGCAAAACAAGCGCGAAGUCUUUUUUUUUUUUUUUUUUUGCUGUUGUUCUUAUUGUUGUUUUCCUGGUGUGCUGCAGGGAAAUGCUUUAGACCUCAGGAUGGACAAGGGGGUGGUAGCAAGAGCCCGGCUCUUGGCAGAUCAGGUGCUGCCAUCUCCCACAUUACCCCCCUGCGCUUGUUGUGGUGAAGCUGGUCCCCACCAGCACUUAUUCACAGUGAAAGGAAGCUGGGAAGAUGUUGGCUCUAAAACUCCCUCAGAAAGAAAACUUUGCUGCAGUGUUGAAGGUGUUCACAGGCCAGCACUAGCAGGAGUCAGCACCAGCACUGUCACAUCAUACCGAGGAGCUGAGGCACAGCCAGGCUUAAAAAGGUUU